AGAGUUUGAUCAUGGCUCAGGAUGAACGCUAGCGAUAGGCUUAACACAUGCAAGUCGAGGGGCAGCACGGAAUAGCAAUAUUUUGGUGGCGACCGGCGCACGGGUGAGUAACACGUAUGCAACCUACCCAUGACAGUGGAAUAACCCGUCGAAAGGCGGACUAAUACCGCAUAAUAACGAGAUACCGCAUGGUAUUUUGUUCAAAGAUUUAUCGGUCAUGGAUGGGCAUGCGUUCCAUUAGGUAGUUGGCGGGGCAACGGCCCACCAAGCCUGCGAUGGAUAGGGGUUCUGAGAGGAAGGUCCCCCACACUGGUACUGAGACACGGACCAGACUCCUACGGGAGGCAGCAGUGAGGAAUAUUGGUCAAUGGGCGAGAGCCUGAACCAGCCAAAUCGCGUGAAGGAUGAAGGUAUUAUGUAUUGUAAACUUCUUUUACAGGGGAAUAAAGUGCGGGACGUGUCCCGUUUUGUAUGUACCCUGAGAAUAAGGAUCGGCUAACUCCGUGCCAGCAGCCGCGGUAAUACGGAGGAUCCAAGCGUUAUCCGGAUUUAUUGGGUUUAAAGGGUGCGUAGGCGGGGAAUCAAGUCAGCGGUGAAAGUUUGCGGCUCAACCGUAAAAUUGCCGUUGAAACUGGUUCUCUUGAGUGUAGAUGAGGUGGGUGGAAUUCGUGGUGUAGCGGUGAAAUGCUUAGAUAUCACGAAGAACUCCAAUUGCGUAGGCAGCUCACUGGGCUACAACUGACGCUGAGGCACGAAGGUGCGGGGAUCAAACAGGAUUAGAUACCCUGGUAGUCCGCACAGUAAACGAUGAAUACUAGCUGUUGGCGAUACACAG
rnacentral:rRNA from 1 species